UAAUCAAAGUGGGGACCGCUCAUUUUUUUGACUAUCUAGAAGUUUGUCUCCGCCACAAAGAAGAGAUGUUAUAUUUGAAGCCACAAAGCAAAGAUUGAAAGAUGUUUUAUUUGAAGCGGUAACAGAAUAUUCUAAAUAAAAGAAUCCUUGAUUCCUCUUGGUGACAACUCAGGCUCUUCAAGCAUCUCACUUAAGGAUGACAUUUCCGGUUGGGUUUAUUUAGUUGGCUCUAUAGUAUAUCAUUUGUUUUCAGUCUGGUUAGUCAAAGGUCUCUAACAUUCUUGUUAUUGAUUUCUGUACUAAUAUAUGUAUGCACAUGUUUUAGUAUUACAC
rnacentral:lncRNA from 1 species